GUCAGGAUAGCUACUCAGAUGGUAGAGCAGAGGACUGAAAAUC
rnacentral:tRNA from 1 species